rnacentral:tRNA from 1 species
GGGGGCUUAGCUCAGUUGGCAGAGCAACUGCCUUUUAAGCAGUAGGUCGCAGGUUCGAGUCCUGCAGCCCUCA